rnacentral:lncRNA from 1 species
AUGGGAGGAAAGCUCAGCCGGAGGAAGAGUGAGCCCGCUGUGGGGGAGGCAGCUCCUGCGGCCGAAGGGGCUGAGAGCCAGGAGACCCAGAAGGAGGCGGCGGCCGGCGAGAGCCAGCCUGCGGAGGAUGCCGGACCCCUGGCGGGCGUCAUGGCGGCGGUGAGCCAGACGGUGCAGGAGACUGUGAGCGCGGCGACCGAACAGGUCCCAGCAGCCCUGGCGGCCCCUCUGGACGACGCCCUGAAGGCAGCCUCCGACAGCGCUGUGGGCAUGGUGGACUCCAUGAUGGCUUCCCUGAGCAUGAAAGAGGAGGCCAAGGAGGAGCCUGCACCUGCUCCAGAACCAGAACCGGAACCCGUUGCCAUUCCAGAACCCACACCGGAACCCGCCUCCAUUCCAGAACCUGCUGCCAUUCCAGAACCAGAACAAACCCCUGUUCCAGAGCCAGAGCCUGUAGUAGUAGUUUCACAACCAGAUCCAGUUCCUGAACCCGCACCCGUACCAGAACCAGAGCCAGCUGCCCCAGAACCAGAGCCUGCUGCCCCAGUACCAGAGCCAGAGCCUGCUGCCCCAGAACCAGAGCCUGUCCGUGAGCCCAGCCCAGAGCCUGCUGCCCCAGAGCCACUAGUGGUGAUGUCUGAGGAGGCCCCCCCUGCUCCUGAGGAACCCUUACCUGUGCCAGAACCUGCCUCUGCCCUGGACGACCUGAUGUCCGAGCCUAUUCUAGAAGCUUCCAUUCCUGCUCCAGAGCCCAUCCUGGCUGCCAUUGACGACUUGGCCCUGCCUGAGGUGCCCAGCCCCACGCUGGAGGAGGUGGAGGUCCCUGUGGUUGCUGAGGGCCUCAUUGAGCAGCUGGAGCAGUGCGUGGAGAAUUCCCCGGCUGACGAGCUCCAGCAGGUGACCGGACUGAAAGUGGACUUGAGUGCUGCCGCCGACGGCGACGACGGGAUGCUGGUCCCAGAGGACCUGGCAGGAGAGGCUGAGCAAGCCCUCACCACGGCAACCGGCGUCGUCAACGACCUGAUCUGA